GACAGAGGCCUCGAGCGUUAGGCGGAAUCACUGGGCUUAAAGCGUGUGUAGGCGGGCCCCUAAGUACCUUGUGAAAUCCCACGGCUCACCCGUGGAACCGCUGGGUAUACUGGGGGCCUUGGGCCACUCAGGGGCGACUGGAACAAGCGGUGGAGCGGUGAAAUGCGUAGAUAUCGCUUGGAACGCCGAAGGUGAAAACAGGUCGCUGGGAGUGCGCCGACGCUGAGACACGAAAGCCAGGGGAGCAAACGGG
rnacentral:rRNA from 1 species